rnacentral:rRNA from 1 species
AUUGAACGCCGGCGGCAUGCCUUACACAUGCAAGUCGAACGGUAACGGGCCUUCGGGUGCCGACGAGUGGCGAACGGGUGAGUAAUGCAUCGGAACGUACCUUUCAGUGGGGGAUAACGUAGCGAAAGUUACGCUAAUACCGCAUAUUCUGUGAGCAGGAAAGCAGGGGAUCGCAAGACCUUGCGCUGAUUGAGCGGCCGAUGUCAGAUUAGCUAGUUGGUGAGGUAAAGGCUCACCAAGGCGACGAUCUGUAGCGGGUCUGAGAGGAUGAUCCGCCACACCUGGAACUGAGACACGGUCCAGACUCCUACGGGAGGCAGCAGUGGGGAAUUUUGGACAAAUGGGGGGCAACCCUGAUCCAGCCAUGCCGCGUGAGUGAAGAAGGCCUUCGGUGUAAG